AAACAGAAUUAGCCGUGAUGAUGUAUUUUAUUGUUUUAUACCGUUGGAGUGUUGGUGGAAUACAUUUGAUCCCUUACUUUAGUUUCGUUUCAUGUGCUUGUUGACACAAUACUUAUGUUAUAAAUGGUGCUCUUCUUAUUUUAGCUUCUUUUUGUCCAUAUUAGUUAGGCGUGUUUGUAGCGAUAUACUUUCCGUGAAAUCCCGAAAAUUUUCUUAUU
rnacentral:lncRNA from 1 species